UCAGUUGGCUUAUAAUUGAAGUCUAGUAUGAAUGGGAACACGGGAAUAUUCUGUCUUUAAUAUAUUAAAAGAAAUUACUAAUUAAGUGAAAAUUCUUAAAAGUAAGAAAAUAGACGAGAAGACCCUAGAAAUUUUUUAAUUUGAUUUUGUUGGGGCGACAGGGUAACAAAAAACUUACCUAAGGUAUUAGGAAAUUUUUUAGUGGUGUAAUUAAAUUACUCUAGGGAUAACAGCAUAAUAUUUUAAAGGUUGUGACCUCGAUGUUGGACUAGGAAAUACACUACU
rnacentral:rRNA from 1 species